AUUGAACGCUGGCGGCAGGCCUAACACAUGCAAGUCGAGCGGAUGAAGGGAGCUUGCUCCUGGAUUCAGCGACGGACGGGUGAGUAAUGCAUAGGAAUCUGACUGGCAGAGGGGGAUAACGUACGGACACGGGAGCUAAUACCGCAUACGUCCAGAUGGAGAAAGUGGGGGAUCAUCGGACCUCACGCUUUUAGAUGAGCCUAGGUCGGAUUAGCUAGUUGGUGAGGUAAAGGCCUACCAAGGCGACGAUCCGUAACUGGUCUGAGAGGAUGAUCAGUCACACUGGAACUGAGACACGGUCCAGACUCCCACGGGAGGCAGCAGUAGGGAAUAUUGGACAAUGGGCGAAAGCCUGAUCCAGCCACGCCGCGUGUGUGAAGAAGGUCUUCGGAUUGUAAAGCACUUUAAGUUGGGAGGAAGGGCAGUAAGUUAAUACCUUGCUGUUUUGACGUUACCAACAGAAUAAGCACCGGCUAACUUCGUG
rnacentral:rRNA from 1 species